AUUAUCUGCCGAAACAUCCUAAAGCCACCAGAUCCUAUCUGAUAUUGGAAGCUAAGCAGAAUCAGUUCUAGUUAGUACUGGUAUUA
rnacentral:rRNA from 11 species